rnacentral:rRNA from 2 species
AAACGACUCUCGGCAACGGAUAUCUCGGCUCACGCAUCGAUGAAGAACGUAGCAAAAUGCGAUACUUGGUGUGAAUUGCAGAAUCCCGUGAACCAUCGAGUUUUUGAACGCAAGUUGCGCCCGAAGCCUUCUGGCUGAGGGCACGUCUGCCUGGGCGUCACGC